rnacentral:autocatalytically_spliced_intron from 1 species
GUGCGACGUGAAAGUUGCACCACAGAAGUCCCUUGAAAAAGGGUAAGGUUGAUCCGAAACCUUAUUGCCACUUACUCGGUGCAAGAGGAGCAAUUCUCUUGUGCUAAGCGAGAAUGAAAGCCUAACUAAAGUAUUAAGCUGAAUAAGAAAUAGGGGCUAGGCAAAAUUGAAAUGGGCUGAAUAAAGUGAAUCUCCGUGAUUAAAAUGUCGUCAGCAACGAAAACACGAAAUCAGAUGUGACGUGUUAAGGGGAAAUUUAACGACAGUUAGAAACGGGUAAAGAAGAGUGUUCGUUCUUUACGACGGAUCCCGUUCCCCGGCAUAGAGGAGGCAGCCCACUCAAUGUAUCUUCAUGGUGUGAAACACGGUAACCCCAUUAAUCUUUUAGUGUUGAUGUAAAUACUAAGAGACAGUGGGCAUAAGACGUUCCAAAAAGCGAAGGCAAUCAGCCGAAAGGCAACUGGAAAUCAUAACAGGAUUGAUAGAGGUAAUUACUUUACUCUGAAAAGAGGCUGACGUGGAACGGGUGACUUACCCAUAUAAUCCUUUACCAAGGUUAUGAAUUGAUUUAGAAGAGUUAGAUGCCUAUGGCAAACGUAAUAAAUCAAAACUAUGAACAACAACUGGAAUGGCAUGCUAUUAACUGGCGUGUUGUGACAGCCAUGAUUAAUAAUCUAAGGCAAAGAAUAUAUAGGGCUUCAGCAACAGGUGACUUAAAGAAAGUCAGAAAUCUGCAAAAACUCAUGAUGAAAUCAAGAGCUAACCAUCUUCUGGCUAUCAGGAAAGUCACUCAGGUCAAUCGGGGAAAACACACGGCUGGAGUAGAUAAUCAGGUAAUUAAUGACCAUAAAGGACGAGAACAUCUUUAUAAGUUAUUAAGCCAAACAACUUCAGAAAAGGUUUAUCCAGUAAAACGAGUUUACAUAGCAAAAAAGAAUGGAAAAAAACGCCCUCUUGGGAUCCCAACCAUUCUCGACCGCUGUAGACAAGCGAUAGUUAAAUCGGCGCUGGAACCUUAUUGGGAAGCAAAAUUUGAACCAGUCAGCUACGGAUUUAGACCGGGGCGAAGUGCCCAUGACGCAAUACAAAAAAUUUUCUGUAUUGCCAGAGCACGAGGGACACGGCACUGGGUACUAGAUGCAGAUAUUAAAGGCGCAUUUGACAACAUUGACCAUAAUUUUCUCAUAAAAAAAAUCGGGGGAUUCCCCGAAAGAAACAUGAUUAAACAAUGGUUACAAGCCGGUGUGCUGGAACAUGGCAACUAUAUACCCAAUGUUGCAGGUACUCCGCAAGGCGGGAUUAUCAGUCCACUACUGGCCAAUAUUGCACUCCACGGAAUGGAGACCUUACUGGGUAUUCAAUACUGGAAAAACGGCACGCCAAAACAAGGGCAACCUUAUGCAGUAGUUCGUUAUGCGGAUGAUUUUGUCGUAUUCGGUAAAUCCCGUGAAGAGUGCGAAACUGCCAAAAUAAAGUUGCAAAUUUGGUUAGCUCAGAGAGGGUUAGCUCUUUCUGAAGAAAAAACCAGUAUCAAACACUUGAAGGAAGGAUUCGACUUCCUGGGAUUUAAUAUACGACAUUAUGACAAUCGCCACAGAAAACGGGGAUAUAUAUUGUUAACGAAGCCCUCAAAGGAGUCGAUGAAAAGGUACAAACAGCAAAUGAGAAUGACCUGGAAAGGUAUUAUCGGUAUGCCGACACAAGAAGGAAUAAGACAACUGAAUGCCAAGAUAAUAGGAUGGUGUAAUUACUAUCGUAUUG